AUGGCAAAACACCUCCUAUCUGCGCAAAACAAGAACGGCGACACGCCCAUGCACUGUGCUGCACGAGCUGGGAUGUUCCUGAUGGUCUCUCAUCUCAUUAGUUUGGCCAGAGAUGAGAAUACAAGUGUUAACAGAGUGAAGGAAUUCCUGGAAAUGGAGAACAAGCUUCAGGAGACAGCAUUGCAUCAGGCAGUCCAUAUUGGGGAUAAUGGCAUAGUCAAGCUGCUAAUGGAGGAAAACUCAGAGUUGGCCAGUUUUCCCAAAUUCGGCACUUCACCUCUGUACCUGGCCAUCUUGCUGGAAGAGGACAUAUCAUUACUCCGGGCCUAA
rnacentral:rRNA from 1 species